rnacentral:tRNA from 1 species
ACCGGGUUGGCAGAAAGGGAUUGCGCCUAUACUACACAUAGGUGAGCAUUUUGCUCGUUGGGGGUUCGAGUCCCCCACCCGGCA